UGGACGUCUGUCUUGGAACCGAGUCCUUCGCCAACAUUCUCACCGACGCGAUCGUCAUCUUCUUGCUCUGGAAAGAGGAAAAAUCUCUUGGAGUUGACGUGCGUCUGGCACAAAUGACACGAGUCCUGGGAGUGUUCAUUGCAUGGAACGCUAUUGCGCUGCAUGUCUGCGCGUUUGGC